AACAAUUUUUCUAGGGACAAAAUCACUUACUUGAGUAUAUGAACAACAAUCCUAAAUUUUUAUAACCUGAUUUUUGUGGAAGGUAAUGUAAUGAUUUUUAUUUAAAAAAAUUGUUUGUGUACGGUUAAAAAAACUAUGUUGCUAUAGAUAGUAAUAUUUUUCAAAUAUGGAAUACUCGAGUGAUUUUCCCUAAAAAGUUUUGCUUCAAUAUUAGCUGUGCCCAAUGAAUUUAGCCCACAACUUUUUUGUUAAAAAAGUAACAUUCAGCAAAAAUUGAAGACCACAUGAUAAGAUCAGUAAGUGCAAAAACUUGUAUUAUAGUCUAUUCAAAAUUCCAACACCUCAGAUUCAGUUGGAGAAUCGAUUUUAGUAUCUUCUGACUGCAUGGUGGUGGUGGUCAAAGGGAGAUAGUGCAUCAAGUGGUUCAUUCGCAAGGGGCUAUUUGAUCACAGGUGGUGAACACUCCCAUUAAUAUACAUACAACAAUUCCAAAGUAGUUGGAACUGGCAUAUAAUGCCUUUUACAUUGAAUUAGAAGAAUUACUAACUCUGAGUUGUGUCCCUAUUACCGCUUAUUCAGGUUGCUCAUCUCUCCACAAACCAAUAUUACAUUACAUACAUACAAUAUAUGAUACACCUGAUAGUUACAUUCCAACAAAAUAUUACUAAUCAAUUAUCUGCAACUCCUAUUACUGGUAUUUGCAUUUGGAAUUUUCAUUCUCCACAGACUUCCUGUGAUUGAUAGUCGUUUUGCUCUCUAAGUUUAUGAUGUCAAACUCACCUGAAUCUUGUGUCCUUACCACAACCGUUCAGGUCUUCAGCCUCACGAGAGCGAAAAACUGUCUCUUGCAACCAAAACUAACUUCUGAGGGUGACCCAGCUUUUGGCUAACAUCAAUUUCUUUCAAUCUAGCUAAGGCACCCAUUUCUGUUUGACUCUGUUUUCCCAACAGCCUUUUUACCAUAUCAUCCAGUUCCACAAUUUUCCUCUGUAAGUUAGUCUUAUCCAUCUGGUGUCAAAUCCAACAGCAAUAUCAUUAAUUAACAACUAAUGUACCAAUAUUACAUUUAUCUCCUAAUAUGAGACAGUAAAACCUUCAUACUUUUAGCAUUUCAUUUUGAGCAAUCAGCAUCUGAUCACGCUCUCGGAGUUGUUCCAUGCACAUCUGGGAUGAUAGCACAUCUGCCUCUCUUUUUUUUCCUUCCAAAGUGUAUCUAAAAAUUGUUAAAUAGUCAGAACCCAUCAUACAUCCUACAAAUAGAAUCUAAGUAGAAUAUUAUACUGGCUUUUCUUAAAUACUGGAAUAUCUAUCAAUCCUAUGCAUUUUAUGGAAGAACGUGCAUGAUAUUAUGUUGCUCCAGCGAAACACUAUUGCGUUGAUAUUUCUCUUUCAAAAAGAGAUUUACUCUACUGCCAACCAUACUUCUAAUGUAACACAUCAUUCCUUGUCUACUCAACACUGGUUAAAUUCAAAGAUGAGGAAGACAAAGUAACUCACCUCUCUCUUUCUUCAACUAGAUCAUCAAUUUGUCUCCUUAGAUCGGAAAGUUCUCUCUCCUGUAAUAACAUAAACCACUUGUAAGGAACUAAAAUUUUAGCAUAUGAUUUCCUAUUAAGCAUACCAUUACAAUGCGCUCUUCUGAUUGCUGCUGAGCCUCCUCUACAAACUUUUGUAGUUGAAACUGGUUCAUCAAAUUCUAGAACAUACAGAAAGAAAAAAGUCAUUAUAACUCAGAAACGGAAAUACACAAGAAAAUAAAGAGGGAUUAGUGGGGUACUUACAGCAUAACUAGUCAUGUCCAGCUUGACACCAAGCAAAUCCCGAAUAACAUCAUGUGUCAUGCUUUCUGUUGCAGCAAGUCUACUGUUCAGCAUACAAAUCUGACAACAUAUAUGAAAAUUAAUAUGUGUAAGAAGAGUAACUAUCUAUAUGAAAGCGGCAGGAUAUGUCUUGAAAACAUGGCAGUACAGAAGAUGAAGGGAUAAUAAUAGCACUACUGAGACGAUAGCCAAAGAGUAACGUUGUUGGUUGUUAGAAAUGAGAAGUAGAUAUAUCAGUACAAAAGUGAUGGAGAUAGAUAUUGAUAUUUUAAACUUCACAUGUAGCUCCGUGAUUGUCUUAAAUCGUGUUACCUGUUUUGAGGUUGUGAUAGAUUGCCUCUAUUAGGCCUUUACUAAUAUACUUUACAAAUUCUUGUUUAUGUCAAUAGCUUUUACUCCUAUUAAGGAGGAUUUACAAAUAAAAUAUGUACACUGACUGAAUUUCCUUUUUUUGUAGAGCUUAGCAAUAAAAUGGUCAUUUUUUUCAUUAAUGAUGGUGUCUGAUCUAGUCAGGAUGCACCUUGAUGAAUCCACAUGGUACUUGCAGCCUUCCAUCAGCACAACUACUAUCACCAUUCACCAAGGCUAAGGGAAAUGAGAAAAUUUUGAAUACUGUCACCUCCGAUGGAAUUUGAACAUAUCAAAGAAACACAUUGUGUUCAUGCUUAUAAAUGACUUUGUAAUAAAUCUCAGAAUAAGGGGUGAAAUUUGGAUUACUAAAUUUAUGUUACCCUAAAAGUUGCUUAGUGUCAUCAUUAGGAACCACCCCUCGAGCAAAUGAAUUAGCUUUCCACAGCUACCAUUUCUAAAAUAAGACUCUUGUAUGAAAAAAAAAAUUAUCUAAAAAUGCAUACCUCCUGCUCUUUCUUUUUUUUUAGAUAAGGUUUUCAUUGUAC
rnacentral:lncRNA from 1 species